CUUCACCGAACCCAACCACAACGGCCGAUCCCGAUCCCGCCCAUACGUCGCCACAAUCGCCUGCGCCUC
rfam:Salinispora tropica CNB-440, complete genome.